rnacentral:rRNA from 1 species
GACGAACGCUGGCGGCGUGCUUAACACAUGCAAGUCGAACGGAAAGGCCCUGCUUUUGUGGGGUGCUCGAGUGGCGAACGGGUGAGUAACACGUGAGUAACCUGCCCUUGACUUUGGGAUAACUUCAUGAAACUGGGGCUAAUACCGGAUAGGAGCUCCUGCUGCAUGGUGGGGGUUGGAAAGUUUCGGCGGUUGGGGAUGGACUCGCGGCUUAUCAGCUUGUUGGUGGGGUAGUGGCUUACCAAGGCUUUGACGGGUAGCCGGCCUGAGCGGGUGACCGGCCCCAUUGGGACUGAGAUACGGCACAGACUACUCCGGGAGGCAGCAGUGGGGAAUAUUGCACAAUGGGCGGAAGCCUGAUGCAGCAACGCCGCGUGCGGGAUGAAGGCCUUCGGGUUGUAAACCGCUUUCGCCUGUGACGAAGCGUGAGUGACGGUAAUGGGUAAAGAAGCACCGGCUAACUACGUG